GCUUGUUGAAUUUUAAUAAAGGUGCUGUUGUAAGCAGAGAAUAUGGACUUCCUUGCGUUGUUGGACUUCGAGGAGCCACAAAGCAGUUUAAAACAGGUGAUUAUGUUUUGCUUGAUGGAAAAAAAGGUGUGCUUCAAAGAUUACCGAAGCCACAAGACGAAGACAAAGAUUAAGAAGC